rnacentral:piRNA from 1 species
GACCAAUGAUGACCACUGGUGGCGUUUGAGU